rnacentral:rRNA from 1 species
GAUGAACGCUGGCGGCGUGCCUAACACAUGCAAGUCGAGCGAUUCUCUUCGGAGAAGAGCGGCGGACGGGUGAGUAACGCGUGGGUAACCUGCCCUGUACACACGGAUAACAUACCGAAAGGUAUGCUAAUACGAGAUAAUAUACUUUUAUCGCAUGGUAGAAGUAUCAAAGCUCCGGCGGUACAGGAUGGACCCGCGUCUGAUUAGCUAGUUGAUAAGGUACGCCUACCAAGGCGACGAUCAGUAGCCGACCUGAGAGGGUGGUCGGCCAUAUUGGAACUGAGACACGGUCCAAACUCCUACGGGAGGCAGCAGUGGGGAAUAUUGCACAAUGGGCGAAAGCCUGAUGCAGCAACGCCGCGUGAGCGAUGAAGGCCUUCGGGUCGUAAAGCUCUGUCCUCAAGGAAGAUAAUGACGGUACUUGAGGAGGAAGCCCC